UGGGGAAUAUUGCACAAUGGGCGCAAGCCUGAUGCAGCCAUGCCGCGUGUAUGAAGAAGGCCUUCGGGUUGUAAAGUACUUUCAGCGAGGAGGAAGGCGUUGUGGUUAAUAACCGCAGCGAUUGACGUUUCUCGCAGAAGAAGCACCGGCUAACUCCGUGCCAGCAGCCGCGGUAAUACGGAGGGUGCAAGCGUUAAUCGGAAUUACUGGGCGUAAAGCGCACGCAGGCGGUCUGUCAAGUCGGAUGUGAAAUCCCCGGGCUCAACCUGGGAACUGCAUCCGAAACUGGCAGGCUAGAGUCUUGUAGAGGGGGGUAGAAUUCCAGGUGUAGCGGUGAAAUGCGUAGAGAUCUGGAGGAAUACCGGUGGCGAAGGCGGCCCCCUGGACAAAGACUGACGCUCAGGUGCGAAAGCGUGGGGAGCAAACA
rnacentral:rRNA from 1 species